rnacentral:tRNA from 2 species
UGGGAAUUGGUGUAACGGUAGCACAACUGACUCUGACUCAGUUUGUCUAGGUUCGAAUCCUAGAUUCCCAG